UGAGAGUAAAAGCCGCUCUUAAAAGUGCCAGUGUCCGCUCGACAGUUGGAUUGGAAUUUUGAGACAAAGUCGUAAAUGUAGACUUGUAUGGUACCUGGUAGUCCAUUAACCAGUUCCUUCGAACACUCUUCGUACUCAGUGGGAGGGAGGCGUGCUAAUAUCACCAGUUUUGUUGAAAAUCUUCGACGCUAAACAGAGAAAUUUUUAGAAAUUUUCCGGGAGUCCUGUGACGGGUAGGAAAGUCCCAUUGUUAUGGAAACACCUGGAGGAUUUUACACGACGGGUUGAAUUGGGUAAAUGACUGACAUCGAAGAAAAUUCAAAAAAAAAAUUAUUUGAUAUGAGAAUUAAUGCAACCGAAAAAUUUCUGGUGUACAAGAUACAAAAGUCCAGAAGAUACGGAACUUCACAUGAAUUUACUGCCCAACCAAACGUUUCGAAUGCACAAUGCAUUCUUGGUCAGGUUUACGACUGAAUUUUGGAAAAGAAACACAUUUGGGAAUACAAAAUUACAGUGUUUGACUUGAUAAAACGGUGUAAAUUUCCAAAGUACUGCGCUUUAUUCUCCGCAACAAAAUUGAAAAAAAAAUCCGAAGGGUAGCAUGAGAGCCUUUUACGGUGGAUAAUGGAUCGACCGUGGUUGGCUCGAGGUUAGGUCGCAGCACGAGCGAUACUCCCACCAGACAAUGAGUGAUAUUGGAGUCCUGCCGAGCGGUUUUACCCGCCCCCGGACACGCCGACAGAUAAAAAAUUUGAAGGAUUGAAGCGCUGGAUGUGUUGAAAUUUCUACAAACUGCUAGAAAAAAUAUAAAUCUAAUGGACUUCUAAUAAACUUGUAAUUUUUAAGCCGACGGUAUUGAAGAACAAGGGGGAGCACAUGAAAAUAUCCGAUUUUCCGGGGAUUUUCCUGAAAUUUCAAAUAUCUGAACGCUAUUGAUACGUUCAUUGGUGAAUUUCUCACCUAGGA